rnacentral:rRNA from 1 species
GGCCGUCCGAGUUGUAAUCUGGAGAAGCGUUUUCAGCGCCGGCCCGCGUACAAGUCCCCUGGAACGGGGCGUCGCAGAGGGUGAGAAUCCCGUCUCUGACGCGGUCAUGUCCGGCGCGCUGCGAUGCGCUCUCGAAGAGUCGAGUUGUUUGGGAAUGCAGCUCAAAACGGGUGGUAAAUUCCAUCUAAAGCUAAAUACUGGCGAAAGACCGAUAGCGAACAAGUACCGUGAGGGAAAGAUGAAAAGCACUUUGGAAAGAGAGUCAAACAGUACGUGAAAUUGUUGAAAGGGAAACGCUUGAAGUCAGUCGCGUCUCUCGGGACUCAGUCGCGCCCCUCAAAAGGCCUGGCGUACUUCCCGAGUCUGGACGGGCCAGCGUCGAUUUCGACCGUCGUACAAAGGCGUGAGGAACGUGGCACCUUCGGGUGUGUUAUAGCCUCGCGUUCCGUAUGCGACGGUGGGGAUCGAGGAUCGCAGCGCGCCUCUAACGGUCGGGGUCAGCCCACGUAACGCGCUUGGGACGCUGGCUUAAUGGCUUCAAGCGACCCGUCUUGAAACACGGACCAAGGAGUCUAACAUGCUCGCGAGUGUUCGGGUGGAAAACCCGCGCG